AUUGUGUGUUCGGUCACGCACGUUCACGGAUUCCGCACGUGAAACGUUCGUUACGCAAUCGAACGGCGUCAAAACCGGUCCUACAAUUGGUAUCAGAGCUAGGAGCUCGAUUGCUUGAUCAAACACAUCGUUUCCGUACCAGAUUUCAGCCGAUUCAGAUCCGAUUUCAUCUAUUUCUUCAUCUUCUACCUAUUUUUCACAUUUUUUACUGUUUUUCGUCAAAUCGAACAGGUUUUCACGGUCCGUUUUAGCUGAAUUUUGGAUAUGUUGUGCGUAUAUACCUGAUCUACAACCCUACUAAGUUUCAGAUCGAAACUCCAAGCCGUUUAGGAGAAAUCGAGGUUUUUCGGGUCGAAUUCGCGUCAUACGAUCAGACAGGUUCGCUUUUACGAACCAAACAGGUUCGCUCAUUUGGUUUAAAAGCAGGUUCGCUCAUAAAGAACUUGAGGUUCGCUCAUAGGGUAAAAGAAAUUCAGGUCCGCUUAUAAGUUUGUGUGUUGGUUCGCUUAUAGAUCACCAAUCAGAUCCGCUUAUGUGACACACUAGGUUCGCUCCAAAUGACAUAAAGGGUCCGCUCAAAAGGUUUGAUUUUGGUUCGCUUUUGUGUCAUCGUUGUCAGCGGAACAGGUAAAUUGCAGGUGAGUUGAUAAAACAUUGUCGGCAUUAAUUGACUGCAUGUGACUAGAUAAGUUCAAAACAAUCGGCCCAAUCACCUUUAAAAAGUUUACAUCUAUUGUCGGCCACAAUCAAUCCAUGUGUUUGCUUGAAAGUCUUUGUUAUUGGCCCAUACAUUGACUGCCAGCUCAUUAUCAUUUUGUUUGACAUAAAGUGGCCCAAUCAUGUUGUGUUUUAGUUGAUAUUGGCAGCUCAUGAUUGGAUGAGAUUAAGGCCCAAUCACUGUUAUGAUUAACCGAUUAAUGUAAAAAAAUUGCAAGUUGGUAUUUUGUUUCAACGUAGUUUCAGAUCUGAAAAUGAUAGACAAGGGGUUGUUGGUUGGGCUGGAUAAAGAUUAUGUUUGUUUGAUUCGAAACUAUCGGUGUUGUUUGGCGAAAUAAGAACAGAUUUUUUUAAGCUGAAUCGGAAGUUGGUUGUUGUUGUUUGAUCGGAUUGAAAUUUAGCUGAAUCUGAGUUGUUUUUUCGGACAAAGAAUCGUUUCAAUUUUUGCCGAUAUCAGAUGCGAAUUUGCUAUAUUAAAGAAUCAGAAAUUAGAUUUGUUUGCUGAAUCGCGUUUACAAUUGAUAUUAAAGUUCUUGUUUGUGUUUUGAGAAAGUAAAAUCUGAAUUGUUGUUGAUAUAAGGCUGCUGUAGUGUUAGUUGUGUUUGAUCGACGUAGGGUGCAGCGACUUAUGCUAGUUGUUGAAGGAAUCGAAAAAGAGAAAUUGUGGCUCUUGUUAGUGGUAUUUCUUAUGAACACCUGAAGAACUUGCAACAAGGUUUUGAGCAAAUGUGUUAAAAGGUAAUCGGAGGUGAUUUGUCAAGUAUCAGAUACCCGUCCAAGCAAAUUUCCACUUGCUGUCUGUGUGAACUUUCAUAUCGUUUGAAAAACUCGUCUUUGAGAAUCUUUUAAUACCGAAGAUGGAUUCUGAAAUUUAUAUUGCACUAAACAAGUUCAAUAAUUUUACAGGUAUCAAUAGAGAAUCAGCUGAUGAAUUGAUCAAAAGAUAUGUCGAGUUGUAUUGGGAGAUGGUGAGAUUGAAGAUAACCAAGACUAAUGAGGAAUGGGUUAACAAGUUAGCAAAUGCUUUACCGGGUGAUGAGUGGAGAACGUAUUUGUCAGAUUUGAAGAAGAUAUACUUAGACGUGAAUUUGAGCUUGUUUAUCGAGAAAAUUAAAGAGCGAGAACAUGAACUUCAAAAGAAUAGUAAUGUAGAAAUUGAUGAAGGAAAAUUCAAAUCUGAGGAAAAUGUUCGAGAGGAAGAGGAGCAGGUUAAAGAAAUUUCAGCUAUCAAGGUGGAAAAGAAAGCUGAAACGGUAAAUAUGACAGAGAAGUGCUUAGACUGUGAAAAUCUGAAGUUCGAAAAUGCCAAACUCUUGAGGGAUUUAGAGAGUUUGACAUUAAAAAACGAAAAUCUUAAAAAUUCAGAAAAUGUU
rnacentral:lncRNA from 1 species